AAUGUCUUGUCGGGGUUCUCUCUUUUAUAGGGGGACGAGAGGUGUAAUACCAACCCGCGAACCUGAUCCGGUUAAUACCGGCGUAGGAAACAAGCUAUUGAUAAUA
rnacentral:ncRNA from 1 species